ACCCCAACAUAUCUCCUCAGGUCACUAAGUAAUAGGCAAAACAACACUCUUCAUCAAAGCCAAAUUGAAAACUACAAAAUACUAAAAUUUAUUCAUUCAAGCAACACAUUGGUAGAUAACCCGCAUCGCUAUCAUUCAUGAGAUGAUAAUCGAAGUAGGCGAUUGUGAAACUCACUACAUGUCUACUAAUUCAGCUAACAGACGAUUACCAAACAAUCCUAAGGCCGUCAAGGCCAUCUACAGCAAAACAAGUCCCAGCCUCAUUCAGUAUUAAUACUGCACAGAUAGAUAAUUCUACAGAGAGAAGGAGAUGAAGGAGAAAAUAAUGAAAUUAGAAGGGCAAAAAUGUGUUUACCUCCUUAGGGGCAGUAAAUGGAACGACGAGCUAUCAACAAACUUGUCGCUAUUGAAAUCUCGCAACGUCGACUACCAACAGAGCGUCUCUUUGAUUUUUCCUGUUAGAGAAUUUGAAAACCACUCAGUAGAAACAAGAAAAAUUUUCCUUUAAGACUCCAAGAAUCGAACUCUUUUCGAACUCAAGCAAAAAGUCUUUUCUUUCUUUGUCAAACCCCUAAUUUCCCAGAGGAGAAAAACAAAACCCAAAUCUUAAACCAACUUCAGACCCUAAUUUUCAACCUAAAAGCCUAAGAAUAGUCACCAAAGAAAGAAAAAAAUCCUCUUAAACGAGCCUCGAGAACUUCCUUUUAUAGAGAAAAAAUAUUAGGAUUUUUCCCUUAGGGCUUCAUAAUGAGGACAAAUAUUUUGAACAUCCCCCUUGAGGAUAAGGUUGGACCCGAAUUCAUUACCUAAACUCGUACAAAUUUUUGUUUUCCUUGGGAGAAUCCAAAUUGGUUUCACCCAAUAGGAUAAGGAAAAGUAGAAAUCCCUCCCCAAAACCAAUGAAAUUCACACACCUUUGUACGAAUUCGUAUGAUCGACCCGAGGAUUGCAGAAAAUGGAUGUUGAAAUAAGCUAGCUCACUAUAUUUUGGAAGAUUCAACCUAUUUCUUUGUGAAUCUACCUGGGUCGGGGUCUGGUCGUCUCAAACAGAGCUGGGUCGACGCUGGAUUUGAAUCAGGCAUUUACCAUGGACGAUGUUGCUGGUAUCGAAAUCGAUUACGAGUUGAGUUAUGGGUCUUGGGUAUUAUUGAUGAAUCGGGUCUGGGUCAGGGUUCAUAUGCUAAUCUUUGGGGGUUGUUGUGGUGUGUAAAUGAGAAAAGUAGAAAAGUAACGGAUUGGGCCAGGGUCAAAGGUUAUUGGGCCGAUUGGUUAGGGCGGUUGGAGUUGUUAUUGUUUCUUGGAAUGGGCUGAUUUAUUAAUAGGAGUGUUGGGCUGGUAGAAGAAGAGAUAGGUUGCUGGUUGGUUUUAAAUUAGGCCCGGAUUGAUUUAGGCUUCUUUUAGGCUGUGGAAAAGAUAAACAGAAAGGGUUAGUUCAAACUUGAGUUGGGCUGACUGUUGAAAUUAUUUGGGCUACUUUUGGGUAGAGUUAAGUAGUUUUUGGGGUUUAUUCAUGAAGUAGUCCCAAUAAGAGUGAAAAUUGCUAAAUCUAUUUAAUUUUUAGCCAUUGAGGAUCAAUUGGCCAAUUACAUUACAAUCUUGGUCAUUUGAUCUCAAUUAUGACUAAAUCGAAUAGAUUAGCCAGAAUUUGAUACGAAUCAAUACUUUUUUUAAUCUCGAGCUUCUUAAUUUGAUAAAAAUCCAACAAAUAUUCCUCCAAGUAGAAUAUUUUGAGAGCAAAUCAUAUUCAAAACCAAGAUUUUAUCCAUUUGAGUUAAUUUUCAAGUUUAAUCAAUAAAAAUCUAAUUUUAAUGAAAACAUUCAUUUGAAUAACAAAAUUUAUACACUCUUGUAUAUAAAAAAUACAAAAAAUGUAUAAUUGUUAAUUAAAUGAUAAAAUUGAAUUGAAUAAGUAAUUUUAACCAGCAUUUAUUUGAACGAAAUAAUUGUUGUGAUUUUAUUUUGAAAUCGAAGAAACUUGAAAUUAAAUUUUACUGCGGAGGGCAAAAAUUAGGUGUCAAUAAUUUCCCUCUCCCUUUGGAUAGGGUGGAUGCAAGUAACCCUGGGCAAAGGGAGGUUGACGUUCCUAAUUUUUGUUUGACCACCAAUUUGAAUCUGAAAGAGGUUAAUCUUUGCGCGAGUUUCAUGGAGUUAUGGACGGACCUCAGUAUCAAGUUUUCUACAUAUCUCAGGUUACAUGAGAAUUCAGGCCACUUAUAGUUCAUAAGGCUUGAUUUAAAAUAUGAUUUUCAAAAAAAUCACAAGCUAUCUCAAUUUUUGGAGCUUUUGAUAAAAUCAACAUAGCUUUUGAUAAAAUCACAAGCUAGGGAAUAGAGGUAUUUGGGGGGAAAUUGGAAUCCAGUUGAGCUAUCUACAUAGAUCCCAGCCCACAUAUCCCCGAGACUCAGGGAAUCAGACUGCUUGUAGUUUGACUCAAUCAGUAGAAAAAAUAGUAUUUUAUUUCAGACAAUCUUUGGCUCAAGAUGGGUGACCAGUCAAUCGAGUUGCAGAAAAGAGGCUUGUAACCUCUUAACCAUGAACGUGGAGAUCUUUACAUCCAUAGGUAAGAACUUACCCGGACAUAAUUUCCAAAACUCUAAAUGUGUUGCCACCCGAAUUUGAAAGGAAGAGAAAGUUCCCCUCGAUAUGAGUUAAGAAAACAUCCCAGAGGUAAAGCUGAGACCAUAAUAUCCAUAAAUACCCACAUGCCUUUUAAUAGAGGCGUGGUUGGAUGGUGGUGGUGAUCAUCAUUUAGCUCGCAUCUAGAGAGUUUGACAUUCCUCUCCAGAUAUGUCCCGUUUUGCUGUUGAGAAAGAGUUACACGUUGUGCUGCGUACUUUUUGGAGUCGUUCAUACCUGUGGUUUUGAUUUGAUAUUUUCAUUCUUUUGGAUGCUCUUGACAAUUUAUCACACAAAAAUCAUUAGUGAUAAGCUCAAUUUACAAAAGAAGUAUAUAGUAUUUUACCAUAUCUCCGCGUGAGUUGUUGUCUAAAAAGUGAAGUCAUCCUUUCUUGUACCUUCAGAGUGGGGUGGCCUUUUUGGACACCGGCGAUACUUUUGCAGAACGGUCCCUACAACCGUGUAAUCUUAUGCUGGUGUGGCAACCCUUUUGGUUACCUAUAUCACUUGUUGUAUAAGGCAUGAUAACCUCUCCGGUUGUUGCCGAUGAUCGAUUUAUAAAUUUUCCUUAAAUUGUCAAUCUUCAGAUAAUCUUACACAUUAUUUGAUGUUGUAUACGAGGUGACUUACAGAUAACCUUUUAAUUUCUAGCUUUUAGGUAAUCCUGUACAUCAUCCGACUCUGGAUAAGAGAUGACUUACAGAUAUCCCUCCAAUCGCUAGCUUUCAGGUGUUCCUGCACAUCAUCCUAUCUUGGAUACAAUAUGACUUAUAGAUAAUCCCUCAAAUUGAUCGUCUUUGGGUAAUCCUGCACAUAAUCAAUCUUGGAUAUGACGCGGCUUAUAGAGAACCCUUGGACGUAUCAAUUUGACAAUCUUGCAUAUCCUCCAGUAAGGAUUUAGUUGCGAAUUACGGAUAACCUUUGAACUAUCAACUUUUGGGCGAUCUUGCACACUAUCUGAUUAGGAUGUUGUUGUGUCUUACGGAUGACCUACAAGCUAUCAACUCAUAGGUGAUCUUGCACACUAUCCUAUUUCAAAUAAUAUGACUUAUAGAUGACCUUCAAAUUGUCAAUUGCUAGGAAAUCUUAUAUAUCAUUCAUCCUUAGAUAGCGACCUAAAGGCGUCCCUCUAAAUCAUGUGCUCUUAAUGUAUUCAGAUGCUGAUUCAUGAAAAGAUGAUGAUAUCCUCGAUGCCAGCAUUUUUUCUUGUAUGUCAGCAGAUAUAUUGAAUACUGAUGAUAUCCUCAACGCUAGCAUUGUGUCUAGCGUGUCGACAGAUAUAUUGAAUACAGAUGAUAUCCUCGACGCCAGCGUUGUGUCUAGAUAUCAACAAAUAUUGAAUGAUGAUGAUAUCCUCAAUGCCAGCAUUAUGUCUAGCAUGUCGAUAGAUAAAUUAGAUGCUGAUGAUAUGCUCUAUGCCAGUGUUAUGUCUAGCAUAUUGACAGAUAUAUUGAAUGCUGAUGAUAUCCUUAACGCCAGCGAUGUGUCUAGCGUGUCAACAGACAUUGAAUGCUGAUGAUAUCCUCGAUGCCAGCAUUGUGUCUAGUAUGUCGACAGAUAUGUUGGAUGCUGAUGAUAUCCUUGAUGCUAGCGUUGUGUCUAGCGCAUUAACAGAUAUGUAAUGGCCUUUGCGGCAAUGAUAUGUGAUGGCCUUUGCGGUAAUGAUAUGCAAUGGCCAUUGUGGCAGUGAUAAAAUGAUUUUACCUGGCUUCAUUUGUCAGUGUCCUACUUUCUACAUGUACCUGUACUCAAGUUAGACAAUUAGUAGACACAAAGUAGCUUUUACUAGCGACUAUUUUUAGGAAACUUCUAAAUACGAUACGUGUAAAGAAGACAAAGUGCUUUUGUUUGUCGCCUACGAUCUUAAGAAAUGAGAUGGACAAAUCAAAAGAUCCUCAAUAAAUGGACAUUAAACCUAUUUUUAGGGCUACCCUAAAAUACCGUUCUUGGGCAUUAAUGAUCUGUUGUGGCUCCCAAUUUGCUCAGGGAUUUUUGAAAGAGACUCUCAUUUUGCAUAUUGAUCCCUGCAUCCACAGAAAAAUGAUUAGUUGAAUGAAAUUACUCCAUGUUGACCUUCUUCGAUCCUUGAUUUUCUCCUUGCCAUCUCUUGGGCAUUACACCAUAUUGAGACUUCCACCCUGACACUUUAUCCCAAAUGAUGUCUAGGCAAGUACUAACUAAGUGAGUCGUAAAAUUUUUGAAAAUAGUCUUAAAUUUUUGAAAAUAAUUUUGAAAACUUUUUUAAAAUUUUAGAAAAUUUCUGCCAGUCAUGUCAUGUACUAGCUCAAUGAACGUCUUCCUCGCGGUUCUGACUAUAUCCGAUGGAUGGUUUCCGAAACUCAUGAUUAUUGUUGAGGGUUUCUUCAAGUAGUUCUAUCAUAUCCAAAAAUUGAGUCUACCCAGACUUUGUUACAGUUGGUGGUUUCCAAAGCUUUAACCUCUGGUGCUGGGGAAUUUGGAACAUGUUCCGGCAUUUGGUGGAAAUUUUGAGGUCUUCCUCAAAAUUUUUGCCCCAGUUUAAACUUGUUUGAGAUAAUACCAAUCUGAGAGGAUCUGAAGUCUUUGCUAAUCUUCAUUCUCUUUGUUGGAUGUCGAUCUUCUCUUGUGAAUUUUUGAGAUUCCUUCUCAAAAAUUCUGCCCCAGUUUUCAUUUCCUAGGGUUAUAUGAUCGAGCCGUUGGGGUGCCUACGUAUCCCAUUGAAGUAGGAAUCAGGUCAAACGUAGUUCAGGCCUACGCUAGGGAUAUAUAUAGAAAAAUAUAAUGGGUUGACCGAAGCCGACAUAGGCCACCUACGUAUCCUUUUUGUUGGGAAUUCAGGUCAUCACGUAGUUCAUACAUAAAGGGAAAGGAUUCUAGGCAGUUACACACUAGCAAACAACAUUAUUACAAAGGUGAUUACAAACAAACUAAGAAAACACAAAAACUAGAACGUCAUUCAAACAUAAUAUCUCUUUACAGCAUCAGAAUUGAUUGGUUUGGUCCUCUCUGUGCCAUCCAUCUUAGACAAAAUCAAAGCUCCUCCAGAUAGCACCUUGCGAACUAUGUAUGGCCCUUGCCAGUUUGGAGCAAACUUGACCUUGUACUCCUCUUGGUGAGGGAAUAUUCAUUUGAGAACCAGUUGUCCCACUUUAAAUGCUCGAGUUCUUACCUUCUUGGUAAAGGCACGAACCAUCCUUUGUUGAUACAGCUGACCAUCGCAUACAGCGACAAUUCUUUUUUCAUCAAUUAACAUGAAUUAUUCAUAGCGAGCACAGACCCAUUCUUCGUUACUCAGUCCAGGUUCCUGAAUAAUCCUUAGGGAAGGUAUUUCGACCUCAGCGGGUAUCACAACUUUAUUCCCGUAGACUAGUAAAUAGGAAGUUGCUCCUGUGGAGGUUCGAACUGUUGUUCGAUAUCCUAGCAAGGCGUAAGGUAAUAUCUCAUGCCAUGAUCUAUCAUUUUCGAUCAUAUUUCUGAAGAUCUUCUUGAUAUUCUUGUUAGCAGCUUCUACGGCUCUAUUCAUUUGGGGACGAUACGCUGUCAAGUUGCGAUGCAUAAUCUUGAACUGAUCACAAAUUUCUUUCAUCAAGUUACUAUUCAGGUUUUCCCCAUGAUCAGUAAUAAUCGAUUCCGGCACUCCGAAUCGGCAAAUCAAGUUAUUAAUAAUGAAAUCUACAACCUCUUUCUUAGUGACGGCUCUAUACGAAGCAGCUUUAACCCACUUAGUGAAAUAAUUUAUGGCAACCAAAAUAAAUCUAUGCCCAUUUGAUGCUAGUGGCUCUAUUGGUCCGAUGACAUCCAUGCCCCAAGCUAUGAAAGGCCAAGGAGAAUUCAUUGCGUGAAGCUCGUGUGGAGGCAUUCGAAUCAGAUCUCCGUUUUUUGACAUUUUGGACAUCUCUGCACAAACUUACUACAAUCAUUUUCCAUAGUCAUCCAGAAGUAACCAGUUCUCAGGAUCUUUCUAGAAAGGACAAACCCAUUCAUAUGGGGCCAACAAACUCUAGCGUGUACCUCGUUUAUCAACUUAUUGGCUUCCACCGCAUCGACACAUCUUAGGAAUCCUAAAUCAAGAGUCCUCCUAAAAAGAAUUUCUCUACUUGGAAAGUAAUUCUUUGCCAAACACUGGAUUGUCUUCUUUUGGUUGUUAGUAGCCUCUUCAGGAUAUAUUCCAGAUUCCAAAUACCUCUUAAUGUCAUAGUACCAAGGCCUUCCAUAAGGCUCCUCUUCCAUGUGUAUGCAAUGCGCGGGUUGCUCCUUCAGGCUUAUUUCCAAAGAAUCGAUAUAACUCUGGUCCGGGUGCUGAAUCAUGGAAGAUAUCGUGGCCAAAGCGUUAACAAACUCGUUUUGUGUCCGUGGUAUAUGUCUGGAAUCAACAUCCUUGAAUCUUCCGCAUAAUUAUUGCACCAGCUCCACAUACAGAGUAAUCUUGGAGUUUUUUACCGUCCAUUCUCCCCGUACUUAGUGAAUCAGCAAAUCUGAAUCUCCGAUGGCUAGCAAUUCACGAACACCCAUAUCAAGUGCCAAUUUGAGCUCUAGGAUGCAAGCUUCAUAUUCAGCCAUGUUGUUAGUGUAUGGAAAACGUAACUUAGCAGUUACCAGAUAAUGCUGGCCCAUUUCUGACACCAAAACUGCUCCAAUUCCUGAACCUUUGAAGUUGACCGCCCCAUCAAAGAAUAGACUCCAUCCGGGUAAGAUUUCCAUGAUAUCUUCUCCUAUGAACAAAACUUCCUCAUCUGGAAAGUAUGUUCAAAGUGGCUCGUAUUCCUCAUCAAUUGGGUUUUUAGACAAAUGAUCUACUAAGGCUUGCCCCUUGAUUGCUUUUCGGGUUAUAUACAUAAUGUCAAACUCACUCAGCAAUAUUUUCCACUUGGCUAGCUUUAUUGUAGGCAUGCCCUUUUGGAAUAUAUACUUUAAUGGAUCCAUUCUCGAGAUGAGAUAAGCUGUGUAAGACGAUAGAUAAUGCCUCAACUUUUGUGCCAUCCAAGUCAAAGCACAGCAUGUCCUUUCUAUAAGAGUGUAAGAAGCUUCAUAUGGUGUGAACUUUUUACUCAAGUAGUAAAUGGCUUUCUCUUUCCUGUCAGUCUCAUUAUGUUGCCUGAGGACGCAUCCGAAAGCAUUUUCUGAGACUGCAAUAAUGGAAUUCCUUCUUUUGUGGGACCAAAACCGGUGGUGCAGACAAGUAUUCCUUGAUGCGAUCAAAAGCUCUCUGACAUUCUUUUGUCCACUCAUUUAGUGUAUUUUUCUUCAACAUCUUGAGAAUUGGCUCGCAUAUGACUGUUGAUUGAGCAAUGAAUCUGCCAAUGUAAUUUAGACGACCCAGGAAACUCAUAACUUCUUUCUUGGUCCUCGGCGAUGGCAAGUCUUGAAUUGUCUUGAUUUUGGAUGGGAAUAGCUCGAUCCCCCUUCUGCUAAAUAUGAACCCCAGCAACUUCCCUGAUGGCAUACCAAAAGCACACUUAGCAGGAUUUAACUUCAAACUGUACCUUCUUAAUCUGUUUAAGAAUUUCUCUAGAUGAGUUAGAUGAUCCAAACUCUCUCGGGAUUUGAUAAUUACAUCAUCCACGCACACCUCAAUCUCCUUAUGGAUCAUAUUAUGGAAAAUCGUCGUCAUGGCCCUCAUAUAUGUCGCACCUACGUUCUUGAGACUAAACGGCAUUACCCUGUAAUGAUAAACACCCCAAGGUGUAAUAAAAGCCAUUUUUUCUGCAUCUUCCUCAUCCAUCAGUAUCUGAUGAUAGCCGACAAAACAAUAAAUGAAUGACUGCAUUUUAUGUUUUUCACAGUUAUCGAUGAGAAUGUGGAUGUUGGGCAAUGAAAAAUUAUCUUUAGGACUGGCUCUGUUCAAGUCUCUAUAGUCAACACAAAUUCGAAUCUUGCCAUCCUUCUUUGGCACAGGGACGAUGUUGGCCAACCAUGUCAGAUAUUUUGUGACCUCGAUAACCUUAGACUGCAUUUGUUUUAUCACUUCUUCCUUGAUCUUUAGACUUAAAUCUGGCUUGAAUUUUCUCAUUUUUUGCUUGACUGAAUCAAACUCAGAAUUUAUCGGCAAUUUAUGUGACAUAAUGCUGGUGCUCAACCCUGGCAUAUCAUCAUAGGACCAAGAAAACACGUCGAUAUACUCUCGCAAUAGGUGGAUAAGCUCUUCCCUUUGUGGCGCCGUGAGGUGGACAAUGAUACUGGUCUCUUUAAUUUUAUCAUGAUCUCCCAAGUUGACUGUUUCAGUAUCUUCCAGAUUGGGUUUUUCGCAAUUCUCAAAUUCCUCCAUAUCUUCAACUAACCAUUCCUCGUCAUCGUCCUUCCAACCAUCAUCGUCCCCUUCAUUUUGUUCGUUCAGGCUUUGAUAUGACACAACAUUGGAAGGUUUUAAGCUACUGCUACUGUAAUGGACAAGCAAAUUAAGUUAGAUGAUAAGAAAACAACAAAACAUAUGACUAGGAGCGUUUUAGAAAUAAUAUAGUUUUCCAAAUAAAUGAAGGCCUUUUUAUUGAAAUUUGAGAAAUAAUUACAAAACCAUGGCUUGUGACUUGCACAAAUACAAGCCCCCGCCUUUUUUGAAGGUAGUAAGAUACGAAAAUAAAGUUUUAAGAUAUAAAAGGUGGAUCGCGGGGCCUCUUCUGGAUCAUCAUCGAUUUCAAAACUAUUAGUAAUUGCCUUUUCAACUACCACGAUGGGCGACGGGUUAUGAGUGGAGUGGAGAUCCAAUUUUGCAAAGCCUCCCCUGGUGCAAUCUGCUUCACCCCGCUGGACUCUAGGAGAUCUUCUGGUACAGCGUUGUAUCCUUCAAACAAAUAUCCUAUCCCAUCCCCAAGACCAUCAUCAUCUGACAUCUCUCAUAUGGGAAAUGACUGGAGCAGGAGUGGCAAGGGCCUAAACAGACUCUUUUCUGGCUCAUCCUCAACCCUAUCUUUUCUGGUAGGCUGAUACCCUAACCAGUGCUUAGUGCUUCUCUCUGGGAUCACAAUAGGCUUGAUAAUUUCUUAUAAAUUCUUUCCCAAGCCUCGAUCAGGUUCAAACCUAUUUCUUAACAUCACAGUUGCAAUCAUUUUGUAGACAGAAGGCAUUGAUAUUUUGGGUGUCGAAUCUCUUUCUACAGCAUUUACAAUUUCCACUGUAUAGAAACUGCUACCUUUUGGAACAUCUUCAAUCACUGGCACAUAACCAUUGGGAUGGUCCGCUGACUUUCUUCUCCUUGGAUGACUACUUCAUCAUCUUUUCAAAUGAACUUCAAUAAUUGAUGAAGGGUUGAUGAAAUUGCCUUUGCCCCAAGUAUCCAUGGUCUUCCCAAAAACAGGUUGUAGCUAGGAUGGAUAUCCAUAACAUAAAACUUAGUCUUAAACUGAGCAGGCCCCAUUUGGAUGUGCAAAUUGAUUUCUCCUAUGGUAUCUCUCUACCCUCCAUCGAAUGCUCUCACAUUUACAUGGCUUUGAUGAAUUUUCCCCAGAUCAUAGCCUAUUUGGACGAACGUAGAGAGGGGACACAUAUUUACACCAGAUCUGUCAUCUAUUAAUACCUGAUUAAUUGCAUAAUCUUAACAAAUGAUGGUGACAUGCAUGGCUUAUUUUGCAUUUCUCCUUCAAACGGCAACUCUUCAUCACUGAAUGAUAUGCGAUGGUUCCCCACAACAUUCCCUAUCAUCGCAGCCAAAUUCUCAAUGCUCUUUCCUACGGGAACAUACGGUUUCUCCAAGACCUUCGACAGAGCUUGUCGGUGGUGUUGCGAUCUAAAUAAUAGUGCCAAGACAGAGAUUUGGGCUGGCGUUUUCUCCAAGUGUUUGACAAUUAAGUAAUCCUUUGGUUGCAUACACCUCCAAAAUUCCUCAGCCUCUCCUUCAGUGAUUGGCCUUUUCUAUGAAUCUUUCUUGUUGGUCAAUUUCUCAGGGAUGUAAUAUCGUCCUGAUCACAUCAUUCCCUGGGCAGCGAUGGUUUGUACAAUAAAUUCCUUCUUUGGAGGGGGAGCGUACACUUGAGUCCGUGCAGUCAUCACUAUAAAUAGCACUUUCUCACUGAUACUUAAGGCAGCCACAACUUUUUUAUCUUUCCUACCUCUUUUGCCCUUUUGCGCGUUUCGAAGUUCACCUAGGUAAUGGUCUUACCAGAUGCCCAUUCACCUUCGAUUUCAAUCAUGUUAACUGUAGAUCCCCCAUGGUUGGGCAGUGGAUUACUGCUAACAUUUGAAGCAGGUUCCUGGAGCGUGAUGACCUUUUGAUCAAUCAGAUCUUGGAUUCUGUGUUUCAAGAUAAGACAAUCCUUGGUACUAUACCCUGCUAACCCUGAAUGAUAGGUACAAUUUUGAUUAGGGUGAUAAAAUCGGGAGCUAGGAUUGACAGGCUUUGGCUGUACUGGUUGCAAAUGACCAGUAUUCUUCAAUCUUUCAAACAAUUGAGUGUGACUUUCAAUUAGUAGGGUGAAGUUUCAGGGAGGUUUCUUUUUAUGGUUUGGACGUUGGGGGUUAUAUGGGCUUAGGUUUGUAGGAGGGGGUACUUGGUGGUAAUUUAGAGGUUUUUGGAAAUUUGUUCGGCUAUUUGGGGGAGUAGUUUGGAAAUGAGACUGAUAAUUUAGAGGUGGAACUGGGUAUUGGGGAAAGAUAUUUGGCUGUGGAGCUUGGUAUGAUAGUGGGAUGUUUGGGAGUGGAGUUUGGUAUUGGGGGUGGACGUAGAAUGCAUGCGGAAGGUUAGGUGAUGGCGGGGAAGAUAAAACGUUUCUAGAGUUGAACCACUAUUUCAAUUUUGUAAUAGAAUUGGCAGAAACCCCACCUACCUCUUCCUUAUUCUUCUUACAAAACAUGGCAGUUCCAGAUGAUGUCGGGGCUUUGGCAAUUUUUUCUGUCCGAAUACCUUCCUCUAAUGGUUCUCCUAUUUUUACCAAAUCUGUAAAGGUCGUUCUGACAGCGGACACCAUCCUGGUACAAUAUUCUCCUUCUUGAGCGCGAGAGAACAUGGAUACCAUUUCCUCCUCGGACAUGGGGGGCUUGGCAGCUUCUUUCCUCCAAUGAAAAGCAUAAUCUCAAAAACUCUUAACGCUCUUUUGUUUAAUCUGAUCUAGUGAAUACCAAUCAGGGACUAUUUCAAUAUUGAAUGAGAACCGGUCAAGGAAACUCUUGGACAAUGUCUUCCAGCCAGUCCACCUUUUCGGCUCCUGAGACAUGAACCACUCCAAGGCUUCACCAUUCAAACUUUGAUUGAAUAGGCGCAUUAAUAACGCCUCGUUUUUCCCUAUCCCUACUAGUUGCUUGCAGUACCUUCUUAGAUGGGCCAUUGGAUUUCUGGUACCAUCAAACAUCUCAAACUUAGGGACCUUGUAUCCUUCUGGUAGGUCUACUCCUGGGUGAACACACAAAUCGUCAUACCCCAAACCGUCGUGGUCCUUGGCCCUGUAGGACUCUUUGAUCCUGAUGAUCUCUUCUUGCAUGACUAGUAAAUUCCUUUUAUACUGAGCCCUCCAUUCCUUCUCCUUCUCCUCGUAAUGGUCCAUCUCGAGGUUAGGAAGGGGUUCACAAAUAUCAGGGGAUAUGAUGGCUUGAGGAGGAUUUGGAAGAAAGGCUUGAUUUUGCAGAUGGAGGGAAUUUAGUUGGUAAGUGGGGAGAACUUUUUGGAAAUUGGGAAGGUUAUAUGGGCCUUGUACAUAAUUUGGCAGAAUAUGAGAGGGAUUUUGCAGAUUUGGAAAUGAAUUUGGUGGAUUCGAAGGUAGGUUUGUCGUAUUUUGUGGAUUUGGGAGUAAAUCUUGUGGAUUUGGGAAUGCGUUUUGUUGAUUUGAGAAUGUGUUUUGAGGGUUUGGGAAUGGAUUUGAAGACGGGUUCUGUGGGGUUGCGGAUGGAUUUUGUGGAUGGUAGACGUCUAGAUUAUUUUCACGAUUAGUGUUUUGGACAAAUGGAUGAGCGAAUUCGGAUGAUACGUUAGUUGGUUGGUCCCCGAGAAUAGGGUUACUGAGGGGAGAGAUUUGGAGUGGAGUUCCAUGUCUCCCCGGAGCAGGGGCAUUGACGGUGAUGGCCAAGUUAGCCAAUUCUCGAGUGUGAUUUAUUUCAUCCUAAAGCAAUUCUAAUUUUCUUGCAAGUUCCGCAAUCAUCUCAUUCUGUUCCGCUAUCACAUUAUCCCGGAUAGCCAGUGCAAUUUUUUUGUCAUUUCCUGUUAUUUUUGAAUGAUGGUCCGAGGAUGGGAUUUUUUGUACUUUCGAUCGAGUGAAGUAGGGAUGUUCUGCCAGUUUAUCAACACGGAGUAAUUUCUGUUAUCUACAAAGUAAAACAACUCAAAGGCAAAUGUGUUAGCUUCCGUAUGUGAUAAGUAAUGCAAAUUAUUUGACAGGAAAAUCACACAGAGUUGUUCGAGUCAUAGACAAAUUCAUCCGUAGGUCAUAGUGGAUAAACUUGCCUUUGAUCUCAACCAAUGCAGAUAAGCACAUAAAAAAGUUAUAUCACACAAGACAUUAAAAUAACGCGUAUCCUAAUUGGGGUGACCAUUUUUGAGCUAAGGGUUCAGGCCUAGUGAUUUUUUGAAGAAAAUAUAUGCUUCCUCAAAGUCAAUCCAUUAACCCCCAACUCAUAUAGACACAAAAAGGGCAUAAAUGCCUACAAAAGAUAAUGAAACAGGGAUACAAUUUUUAAGGAAAAAGGGAAAUAACAUAAAAGUAGAUAAGUUCCCGCGCAGGGGAGAAUAGAAAAGUUAGCUACUGGAGGCUUCUUCAUCUGCUUUCGCCUUCUUUGCCUUGUUUACCUUAUGUGCUAUUUGAUACCUAUUGAUGAUAAGAUGACUCCCGUAUAAUUGUGCCUUGCAGUAGUAAGUCAUUUCUUCUAUACUGUGGAGUUGGGAGGCCAUGCUAUCAUCCAAAUCGAUUAGGCAUUGUCUGGUAUCAUCAGCGUCUUGCCUAGCUCUUUUCAACUCUUCCCUCAAUGUAUGUAUGGUCAAAGAGUCUUCCAUGUGCAUCUUCUGGUGCACAAUUUCACUUUUCUGGAACUCAUCUUGUAGCCUGUGAAGCCGAAUUUGAUGCUCGUAUUCUAUAUCCACAACCCGAGUGGGCAUAUUUGGUCCCGUAUUCAAUGCUCCGGCGAGGCUCUUUUUCAACCAAUCCUCGUAAGUGUCACUAACUUCAGGUUCAUACCCUAUAUGGAAAGAGACUUCUACCCAUUGUUUCCUUCUCCAUCCAUUUAUCAUGUAGUCUUUGAGCGAGGGCUUACUUUCAUCAUAUUCGGUAAAGAAUCUGAGCAUAGAAUCGAUUUGAGGCGUCUCCUGCUUGAUCUCUACUAGGAUUGUAGGGGCGAGUUCCCCUGAGACCCAGGAGCACUAAAAAAGGCCAUUCGCCCCCUCGAAUAAUGUAAUUCCCUGAACGAAGAUAGUUAAGGGACCAUUAGACAUUGCCAUCUCUUAAUUCUCCAAGAGUCUUAAACCAAAAUUCGUGGGAUGCUUCCCUUUUGAACUUGCAUAAAAAUAACCACAUGUCGUGCGAUUCAAGCAGAUUUCUCCUUAUUUUGUGAUUAGGUUGUGCCGUUCUGGGAUUUUUCACCAAAUGCAUCAUCAUCCACCAUUGUAAUAUAAGGUUGCAGCCUUGAAAAAAAUGAUUCUCGACUUGACAUCUUCCCAAAGCGCGAUAUAUGUCAGCGACAAUCAUGGGAGCUAAGUUGUGGAAUACUUUUUUAGAAUUCUAUUCCAUUCCAAAGAAGAGUGCAUGGGUCACUGUGACAACGCUUGGAUGAAUUGUGCCAUUUUCCCCCUGCGGGAACACCAUGGUUCCAAGUAGGCCUACCGAGAAUGCAAAAGCUCUUGUUUCCUUCCACUUUGCUUCCGACUCCAAUUUAUGCCCAAAUUUGUGAAAAUAGUUGAGUCUUUCAAACCAACGGUACAACAAAAGUGAUAUUUGCUCCAUCUCGUUCUCCUAUCCAGGUGUCGUCAUCAGUUAAAAAUGCUUCCUUGAUCUUUUGACGACCCACACAUCCGGGACUAAAAUAUUGUUAUCCGGUGUCUCCUUUCUCUUAAAACACAUUUCCGUACUCUCGUAGAAAAUCAAUACCUCUUCAAUGGUGGGGGUCAAUUCAACAUCCCCGAAGCAAAAUACCAUGUUCUGAUCAUCCCAAAAAGUUGUUAGUACAUGGAUCAUUUCGGGCCAAGCGUCCAUCUCGAUCAAAGAAGGAAGAUAACCAAUGUGUGUUCUAACAAUCUUUCUCUCUUCUGUACCCAUGUAAUCCCACCACAGUUUUAGGUAAUCGUCGGGUUUGGUGACCAUCUUGAACUUUUCAUGAGGAUUCAAUUGAGCCAUAUCUACAUAAAAGAAGACAAAAUAAGCCUUUCCCCGACCCCAAAGGAUAAUGGAUUGAAUUUAGACAAGCAUAUAUUUCUUCAACACAUAAGCAUGGUUCGCCUGUGAUUGACUCAGGGUCAAAUAGACAUAGCUCAAGUUUUCUAAUGGACUCAAUAUCCCGCUCGGAUAUUGGGACGUCCUAGGCACAUGCCUAAAAUAGGGUUUUGGUUUCGUUCUAUCCUCGAUGUCUAGAGUGGGCUUGGACACUGGUUCUCAAGCGGACAACUUGAGUUUGAAAAUACGAACAGCGUCAGACGACUCACGUGCUAAUAAGUUGUUCGUAUUUCCAACACAUUUUAGAAUUGAAAAACAAGGGCUGGGACAUCCACGAAACCCCAAAAUAGUUUAUAAGAUGCAGGAAAUGCUAUGAGAUACGAUAAUUAAACUUUACAUAAUCGAAACAUAUAAACACAUAAAUAGUUAAUCAAAGAUGAAAUAAAACAUUUCGUUAGAACCUAGUUAGAUCCCCAGCAGAGUUGCCAUUUCUGUUUUUGCGGAGAAAUUUUGACUUUUUGAAAGAGAGUCACCACUUAAUUUUGAAAAGGAAUUAAGAAACAUUUAGAGAGUUACUUAAAAUGAUUCAAAAUAGGAAAAUAAUUUUAAGUUAGAGAUUCCGAGUAAGUGGUUCCUAUUAACGUUUUAGGAAUGUGUUAGGCACCAAAAACGUCUGCUAACUUGCGGUUAUCCAGAUUGUUUGAAACGUUUUUUAUUAGCUUCGAAAAAUCAAUUUGUUGGGAAAAUAGUUGAUUAAGGAGAAAGUUUUUGCAAAAACAGUUUUUAGCGACUUAGUUAAGGAUCUAACUAGCUUCGCAAGAAAAGCACGUAAAACAAGUAAGAAAAAGGGAAAGGGAAAGGGGAGAAGUAGUGAUUUCAGCCAUUAGGCCCAAAUCAAUGAAACCUGUCCUAGUCUAGUUGGGUUUUCGACCCAUUUUCACCUAUCCUAAUUCUAUGUUUUAAGCUAUUUUGCUCGAACCUUACUCUACAUGUAUUAAAUACAAUUUUGGCUUUGAGGCCCCCAAAUGAAUAAAUGAAUAAAUAAAUAAAAUUAUAAAUAAAUAAAUAAAAGAACUAGUAAUCAAUGCAAAAUCUAACGAUUUCCAUCUAUGGGAUUCGAACCGUCCCUUCUUCCAUCUUCUUAUAUUCGUAUACCAUGUGUUUUGUCUAAACUUUCUUUAGGAGUUGACUCGAAAGGGAGGCCUUAUUGGCACAUUGAGAUGCAAAGAGGGGUUGAGUCCAUUUCGGACUCGGCCAUAUUCACAUGCAAAAGAGAAGCAAGAUAAUUAGCAUAUGUACCGAUGUUAAUUGCCUAACACAAGAACAAUGAUAUGAAAAGAGGACAUUUUUAUGAAAAAUGAAAAUAAUAUUAACAUGAUUUACGUGAAAUAGAUCAUAUUGGCUUACUAAUUCCUUUUUCUCUUUUUUUUCGAGAAGGCAUCAUAUUAGAUUCGCCUGAUUAAAACAUAUAUUUCAAAUACAUUUAUCAAAGAGAUCAAUGGAAAGCAUGGCCUAAUAUCCGGUAAAAAAAAAUUUAAGACUUUUAGGUCUAUGAACCAGCAUUAGAACCAAAAUGAACUCAGAUACCUCACUUCUUGUAAAUGUAUAAAAUAAGAGAUUAUUAUUGAACUCAAGUGACAUUUGAACAUAAGUCCUACAUUACUAAUUAAGAGAAACAUACGAAUAGUGACAAACCCAAAAUAGGCAAGAUCAAAGUUUACAUCUAAAAGAGAAAGGAAAAUUCAACAUUAUUAACAACCCCAAAACAAGCUAGAAAAGGGAACAAAUAGCAAAUCAAAUAAAGAGAAGUACAUUAUGUUUGCGAGAAAAUUGGGGCAGUGUACAUUAAUCCUAAAUAGAAAGAAAAACAAGCAGGAGGAAACGGACCUUUUCUAUGGCAACAUAUAGUUCAGUGGAUUUAAAAUGCCUAAGUAAUCUUAAUUAUGAUGAAGGGAUAAACCCUAUUUUACACAAUUAUCAUACAACGAUGCCCACGAUUUGCAAUCUUCAAGGUGGAUAUACUACAAAUGCAGGAUUAUUCUCUCUUUGACCAACUCAAAAUGAACUUCCGGGGGUCGAAGAAAAGAUCUUUGAAGGUUUGUAGGAUCACUGACCUUACCAUGGACAUUUACCCACUAUUCCAUGGACUUUACAGGGCAAGAGGAUUUUAAGGAGCAACCCGCAUCAGACCAAACUAGUUGAUUUAAGUCGGCAUUAAAAAUUUUCACACUAAGAAUGAAGUUAAGAGAAAACAAAGGACACAAAUCGAGAGAGAAUGCUAUGUUAGAACAUUGAAAAUAGACAAGAGUAUUCAGCUAGACUACGACAAAUCAAUCCAUGGAAAAAUGGAACACAAAAUUCUAUUAUUUGUAGCAUCUAACGACUACACCACAGUUGCAGGCUUGAAAGUAGCUAACAAAAUCUACAGAUAUCUAACUUAACAACUUUAAGAUAAAGAAUAACUAGGGGGUCGCUUUUUGCACUUUAUAAAAUUAAUCAUACCAAGCGUCCAAGAGUCAAAAGUCAGUUAGAAUUGCACACGAUCGAAAUAUGAAUCUAUUACAUUAGUUUUAAUUGCCCUAGAGUUAUAUGCAGCUGCAUAGAACUUGUAUUAACCGUCACAACCUCAAAUAGAUUAUUGGAUACACAACUUGAUAGUGAAACAAUUUAAGCAAAAAAUUAAUAUCUCAUCGGAUAAGCUCACACAGGAAGUCAGAUAGCACGUAGUGUCAUAACAUGCCUAAUAUGUUGUUUUAAACUAUCAUACAAAUUACUCUAUCCUUCAGAAAUAGGAACACUAGUAUGAGAUUUAGAGGUAUUCAUAGAUAUGACGUAACCUUCCUUAAUCAUCUAAGAUAUAAUACAAACAACUAGAAUAUGCAAUAACGUCUGUGAACUAAAAGUAAACAUUUUAGCUGGCCUAAGUACAGAGAAGCAUAGGUGUUCAGGUAUUAGAACAAUAUAUAAAUUGCAUUCAUAUGGUCAGCUAAAGAUUCAAACAUAAAGCAAUUUGAAGUAAUGCCCGCAUUUGUUUCAAACAAAGCCCUGAACAUUAUAGCAUGAAUUACACCCAAUACACAACAAGCAUACCCCAACAUAUCUCUUCAGGUCGCUAAGUAAUAGGCAAAACAACACUCUUCAUCAAAGCCAAAUUGAAAACUACAAAAUACUAAAAUUUAUUCAUUCAAGCAACACAUUGGCAGAUAACCCGUAUCGCUAUCAUUCAUGAGACGAUAAUCGAAGUAGGCGAUUGUGAAACUCACAACAUGUCUACUAAUUCCGCUAACAGACGAUUACCAAACAAUCCUAAGGCCGUCAAGGCCAUCUACAGCAAAAUAAGUCCCAGCGUCAUUCACAAUUAAUACAGCACAGAUAGAUAAUUCUACGGAGAGAAGAAGAUGAAGGAGAAAAUAAUGAAAUUAAAAGGGCAAAAACGUGUUUACCUCCUUAGGGGAAGCAAA
rnacentral:lncRNA from 1 species